rnacentral:rRNA from 1 species
AUUGAACGCUGGCGGCAGGCCUAACACAUGCAAGUCGAGCGAGCGGCGGACGGGUGAGUAAUGUAUGGGGACUGCCCGAUAGAGGGGGAUACCUAUUGGAAACGGUGGCUAAUCCCGCAAACUGUCGGAUCCCCCAUAUGGGAUUAGCUAGUAGGUAAGGUAAUGGCUUACCAAGGCGACGAUCCCUAGCUGGUCUGAGAGGAUGAUCAGCCACACUGGGACUGAGACACGGCCCAGACUCCUACGGAGGCAGCAGUGGGGAAUAUUGCACAAUGGGCGCAAGCCUGAUGCAGCCAUGCCGCGUGUAUGAAGAAGGCCCUAGGGUUGUAAAGUACUUUCAGUCGGGAGGCGUUACCGACAGAAGAAGCACCGGCUAACUCCGUGCCAGCAGCCGCGGUAAUAC